rnacentral:rRNA from 1 species
UUACGGGACGAAGCAGUACCGAUAAGGAGCUGUGGACUGUAUAGAAGAGAGAAUGUCGGAAUGAGUAGCGAGAGGAAGGUGAGAAUCCUUCCGGCCGAAUAUCUAAGGUUUCCAGAGUAAAGCUGAUCUGCUCUGGGUAAGUCGGGGCCUAAGGCCAGGUCGAAAGACGUAACCGAUGGACAACAGGUUGAAAUUCCUGUACCUUAAGUAAACAGAACUGUGGGGACACGUGUGGAGAGCACAAGCCGGAAAUGGAAAAGCCGGUGCAAGCGAGGUAGGAGAUGAACAGGCAAAUCCGUUCAUCAAUCCGAAGACGUGAUGCGGACCGAAUUAAGAGUAGGGAAGUGUGUGAGCCAUGCGUCAAGAAAAGCCGCUAUUGUUUUACUUAAGCCCGUACCGUAAACCGACACAGGUGGAUGAGGAGAGAAUCCUAAGGCCGACGGGAGAAGCAUUGUUAAGGAACUCGGCAAAAUGACUCCGUAACUUCGGGAGAAGGAGUGCCAGCGAGAGCUGGCCGCAGAGAAUUGGCCCAAGCAACUGUUUAGCAAAAACACAGGUCUAUGCAAAACCGUAAGGUGAAGUAUAUGGGCUGACGCCUGCCCGGUGCUGGAAGGUUAAGAGGAGAGGUUAGCGGUAACGCGAAGCUUUGAAUUUAAGCCCCAGUAAACGGCGGCCGUAACCAUAACGGUCCUAAGGUAGCGAAAUUCCUUGUCGGGUAAGUUCCGACCCGCACGAAAGGCGUAAUGAUUUGGGCACUGUCUCAACAAUGCACCCGGUGAAAUUGAAAUACCAGUGAAGAUGCUGGUUACCUGCGCCAGGACGGAAAGACCCCAUGGAGCUUUACUCCAGCUUGAUACUGGGAUUCGGUAUUGCAUGUACAGGAUAGGUGGGAGGCUAGGAAGUGAUAACGCCAGUUGUCACGGAGCCGCUGUUGGAUACCACCCUUGCAGUAUUGGAUUUCUAACCAGCGACCACGAACUGGUCGGAGGACAAUGUCAGGUGGGGAGUUUGACUGGGGCGGUCGCCUCCGAAAGGGUAUCGGAGGCGCUCAAAGGUUCCCUCAGAAUGGACGGAAACCAUUCGAAGAGUGCAAAGGCAGAAGGGAGCUUGACUGCGACACCGACGGGUGGAGCAGGUACGAAAGUAGGACUUAGUGAUCCGGUGGUAUAAAGUGGGAUUGCCAUCGCUCAACGGAUAAAAGCUACCCUGGGAUAACAGGCUUAUCACUCCCAAGAGUUCACAUCGACGGAGUGGUUUGGCACCUCGAUGUCGGCUCAUCGCAUCCUGGGGCUGAAGUAGGUCCCAAGGGUUGGGCUGUUCGCCCAUUAAAGCGGUACGCGAGCUGGGUUCAGAACGUCGUGAGACAGUUCGGUCCCUAUCCGGCGUGGGCGUAGGAUAUUUGAGAGGAGCUGUCCUUAGUACGAGAGGACCGGGAUGGACUGGCCGCUGGUGUAUCUGUUGCAUACCAAAUGCAUGGCAGAGUAGCCAAGCCGGGACGGGAUAAACGCUGAAGGCAUCUAAGCGUGAAGCCCCCCUCAAGAUGAGAUAUCCCUACGUAAGUAGUAAGACCCCUUGAAGACGACAAGGUAGAUAGGUCAGAGGUGGAAGUACAGUAAUGUAUGGAGCUGACUGAUACUAAUCGGUCGAGGGCAUGACUA